CACUCCUGCGGGAGGCAGCAGUGGGGAAUUUUGGACAAUGGGCGAAAGCCUGAUCCAGCCAUGCCGCGUGCAGGAUGAAGGCCUUCGGGUUGUAAACUGCUUUUGUACGGAACGAAACGGCCUUUUCUAAUAAAGAGGGCUAAUGACGGUACCGUAAGAAUAAGCACCGGCUAACUACGUGCCAGCAGCCGCGGUAAUACGUAGGGUGCAAGCGUUAAUCGGAAUUACUGGGCGUAAAGCGUGCGCAGGCGGUUAUGUAAGACAGUUGUGAAAUCCCCGGGCUCAACCUGGGAACUGCAUCUGUGACUGCAUAGCUAGAGUACGGUAGAGGGGGAUGGAAUUCCGCGUGUAGCAGUGAAAUGCGUAGAUAUGCGGAGGAACACCGAUGGCGAAGGCAAUCCCCUGGACCUGUACUGACGCUCAUGCACGAAAGCGUGGGGAGCAAACAGGAUUAGAAACCCGGGUAGUCCCAUGA
rnacentral:rRNA from 1 species